UGAGAGGUGCAGAAAUGAUUGACUGUCAAUACUUUCAUGGAUUUAGUAAGGAGUUACAGCAUUGCCCAGAAACUACUGCUCUCAUUCCCAGAGCUGCAUCUUCUUAGUUUGUCAAAGUAAGAUUUUGAACAUUUAUUUAUUAGUCAGGUGGAUUUAACAUCUUGAAUAAUAAUCAGAUAAUAAUCACAUGUAUCAUAACUGGAAAUGUCCAUAUUCAGUGCCCAAAUCCCUCUGUCCCCCUUUUCUAUUCUAAUGUCCCUCUUUUCUAGGAGCCUCAUAUUGUUGGUGUGGCUGGGCGUAUAACAGAGCUCCACAGCAAUUAAUACUCAUAGGGGACUACUUUAUCGUAUGUAUUUUUCCCCUGCUUAUUUUUAGUACGUCUGACGGCUGCGCUCUGUCUAGGCAGGGUCUCGCUGGAUCCUUCAAAGACAUGAAUGCUCUACUCUUGUGCAUGCGCAAGUAAAAAUCUCGCCAGA